CAUGUUGCGAACUGUUGCGCACCCUCCUAUAUCUCCGGUGCCGGGUUCGCCCGGCUAUGGUGAUAAAUGAUGUCGUGACAUAGACGCAGCGGACCCGGGGGCAGUACCCGGCGGCUCCACCAUCAUCGGCGCACCCGACCCUAGACGGGCGGCGCCGAUUGUGACGGGGCCGAACUAGGAUCGACGUGUGUUGAAAGACGAUAUUUUUGCCCGGCCUGAUUGAGCCGUAAAACCGAUCACAACCACAAGUGCUAACGACAACGAGGCACUCGCGAUUGCUGCGUAACUAAGUCCUAACGGACGAAGUUAAACAGACAAAAGCGCGGUUGGGGCCGCACCGGGCAACAGAAGCGGACACC
rnacentral:tmRNA from 1 species